rnacentral:lncRNA from 1 species
CCCCCCCCCCACGCCCCCAGCCCCAUUUGCCCCCUCGGCCGCACGGCGCAUGCGCCGAGCCGCCGGGCGGGGCCGGGAGCGCCGUGGGCGGGGCCUCAGCCCUCGGGGCGUGGCCCCGCCCCGCGGAGAGGCGUGGCCUCGGCGGCGGGGGGGCGUGGCCCGGCGGGCUCCAGCGUGUCACACACGCCCCCCUCCCCCCUCCCCCCCUCCCCUCCCGGCCCCGUGCUCGGGGGCCCCCCCCCCGCGUGGUGCUGGACGCCACCCCCCCCCCGGGCUCGCUGGGGGUGGGCACGGCCGUGUGCGCCCGGCCGGACCCCGGGGAGCCGCUGUACCGGGAGGGGACGGUGGUGGAGGUGAGCGCCCGGCCCCCCCCCCACUACCGCGUGCGUUUCGCUCGGCCCCCCCCCGCCGCCCCUCUCUGGCUGCCCCGCUCCGGCCUCCGCCUGCUGCGGCCCCCCUGGGAGGACGACGCCGAGGAGGAAGGCGGCGAGGAGGAGGAGGAGGAGGACGACGAGCGGGCCCCCAGGCACCCCGAGGACGUGGAGGUGUCCAACAUCAGCCUCGCCGCGCCCCCCCCGCCGGCCCCGCCGCCGCCGCCGUCGUCGUCGUCUUCGUCGUCGUCGUCGUCCUGCGGGGGGGGGGCGCGGUGCCGGACCCCGCUGCCGGCGCAGAAGUACAAGAAGGGGGACGUGGUCUGCACCCCCAACGGCAUCCGCAAGAAGUUCAACGGCAAGCAGUGGCGGCGCCUCUGCUCCCGCGACGGCUGCACCAAGGAGUCCCAGCGCCGCGGCUUCUGCUCCCGCCACCUCUCCAUGCGCACCAAGGAGCUGGAGGCCGGGCCCCCCCCCGCCGCCAGCGGGCCCCCCGCCCAGGCGCCCGGACCCCCGCCCGCCGCCGGCAGCCACCACCUGGGAGCCCCCCACCCGCUGGGCAGCGCGGAGCUGGACUGGGACGAGGCCUCCACCUCCCGGGAGAGCGAGGCCAGCCUGGGGGGGGCCCCCGCGCACGGCGGGGGGGGGGCGGCCCGGGGCGCCCGCCUGGCCUCCGCCGGCCCCCCCCCGGCGGCGGAUCUGUCGCGCUUCGAGUUCGACGAGUGCGAGGCCGCGGUGAUGCUGGUGUCGCUGGGCAGCUCCCGCUCCGGGACCCCCUCCUUCUCCCCCGGCUCCGCC